GGACUACACGGGUAUCUAAUCCUGUUUGCUCCCCACGCUUUCGUGCCUCAGUGUCAGUUACAGUCCAGAAAGCCGCCUUCGCCACUGGUGUUCCUCCUAAUAUCUACGCAUUUCACCGCUACACUAGGAAUUCCGCUUCCCUCUCCUGCACUCAAGCCGCACAGUUCGCAAGGCUAACAAUGGUUAAGCCAUUGCCUUUCACCCCGCGCUUACACAGCCACCUACGCACUCUUUACGCCCAAUAAUUCCGGAUAACGCUCGCCCCCUACGUAUUACCGCGGCGGCUGGCAC
rnacentral:rRNA from 1 species